ACCAAAUGCAACUUACAUUUUAAUAUUAUGAAUGAACACGAAUGAGGCCUUUUUCAUCUAAGACGGAAACCGUAUAAAAUUUAACUAAAAUGCUAAAAUUGUGAAGAUUUCAGUAAUUUAGCAUGACUUAAUGAUGUUAGUACCCGAUAUAUGUGCAUUGUAUUGUCAAAAACGGCCCAUAUUUGUGUAGCAGAAGCAUUCUACAUUCCUAUAAAUAGCUAAAAGUUUACAUUUUCACAAUUUUGCAAAACUGCUAUAUUUUGGUGCCAAAAUGGGGUCUUUAGUUACUGAACUACUCCUUUACAAUUGGAAUUUAAAAAAAGAUAUAAUCAAUUAAUUAUAAUAAGAAUGAUAACUUCCUGGUGCAAUAAUUCUGAAAUGGUUUAUAUCAUAAUCCAUAGUCUACAAAGAUUUAAAGCAAUUACACAGAGCACAAAGAAGAUUGUCUUAACAGAUAAACAGAGAAAAGAAUUGAUAAAGCAUAAUCUGUAUUCCACGAUAAUUCCUACACAUUCAAUUUGUAUAAUGUUAAUAUCAUAGCAUUAGUAAUUACAUUAUAGCCAUCAAAUCACAAAACAUAAAAAUAAAUGCUCAGUAACAUUUUAAUUUACAUAUACUGCAAAGCACUCCAUAUCUUACUGAAAAGAACACUUAUAAUGGCAUAGCUUUAUCUGCUAUGUAUUCUGGCAAUUUUUUGUUCAAUAUAUACAUGAAUAAGGUGAAUUCUCCAAAAAAAAUUCAAUCAAUUGUAACUGUAUCAAAAAUUCAGUUUGUUAGUUGUGGCUUAAGAAAGUAGGUAGGUAAGUAAAUUUUAUUAAGAGUCGGGCAUCAUAUGUACAAAUUAACACCGUGAACAUGAACUCUGGACAGCUCUUAGCUGACGUGAUAUUUAAAAAACAAAUAAC
rnacentral:lncRNA from 1 species